CCUACGGGGGACAGCAGUGAGGAAUAUUGGUCAAUGGACGAAAGUCUGAACCAGCCAAGCCGCGUGAAGGAUGACUGCUCUAUGAGUUGUAAACUUCUUUUAUACAAGAAUAAAACUAGACACGUGUAUUUAUCUGCAUGUACUGUAUGAAUAAGGAUCGGCUAACUCCGUGCCAGCAGCCGCGGUAAUACGGAGGAUCCGAGCGUUAUCCGGAUUUAUUGGGUUUAAAGGGUGCGUAGGUGGGUUGUUAAGUCAGAGGUGAAAGUUUGGGGCUCAACCCGGGAAUUGCCUUUAAUACUGGCGGUCUUGAGUGUAGGUGAGGUAGGCGGAAUGCGUGGUGUAGCGGUGAAAUGCUUAGAUAUCACGCAGAACACCGAUUGCGAAGGCAGCUUACUAAGCUAUAACUGACGUUGAUGCACGAAAGCGUGGGGAGCAAACAGGAUUAGAUACCCGUGUAGUC
rnacentral:rRNA from 1 species